rnacentral:rRNA from 1 species
GACGAACGCUGGCGGCGUGCCUAAUACAUGCAAGUAGGACCCAGUUGCGAACGGGUGAGUAACGCGUAGGUAACUGCCUAUUAGAGGGGGAUAACUAUUGGAAACGAUAGCUAAUACCGCAUACUAGUAGAUGGACCUGCGUUGUAUUAGGUAGUAGGUAGGGUAAUGGCCUACCAAGGCGACGAUACAUAGCCGACCCGAGGGGGUUAUCGGCCAAACGGGGAAUUAGACCAGGGCCAGAAUCCCACGGGAGGCAGGAGGAGGGAAACAUCGGAAAAUGGGGGAAACCUGACCGAGCAACGCCGCGUGGGAGGAGAAGGUUUUCGGAGCGGAAAGCUCUGUUGUGAAGGAAGCGGUACUUACCCAGAAAGGGACGGCUAACUACGUGCCAGCAGCCGCGGUAAUUC